rnacentral:rRNA from 1 species
AAGGUAGCAUAAUCAUUAGUUUUUUAAUUGAAAGCUAGUAUGAAGGGUUGAAUGAGAAAAUAACUGUCUCUAUUUAAAUUUUUUAGAAUUUUAUUUUUAAGUAAAAAAGCUUAAAUAUAUAUUGAAGACGAGAAGACCCUAUAGAGUUUUAUAAAUUUGGCUGUUAGGUGUUUUAAAAUUAUAAAAUUUAAUAGCAGACUUUAUUUAGUUGGGGUGAUUGAAAAAUUUAGUUAACUUUUUUUUCAUAGAAACAUUUAUUUAUGAAAAAUUGAUCCUUUUAUUAAGAUUAAAAGAUAAAAUUAC